UACGGAGGGUGCAAGCGUUAUCCGGAUUCACUGGGUUUAAAGGGUGCGUAGGUGGGUUGGUAAGUCAGUGGUGAAAUCUCCAGGCUUAACUUGGAAACUGCCAUUGAUACUAUCAAUCUUGAAUACCGUGGAGGUCAGCGGAAUAUGUCAUGUAGCGGUGAAAUGCUUAGAGAUGACAUAGAACACCAAUUGCGAAGGCAGCUGGCUACACGAAUAUUGACACUGAUGCACGAAAGCGUGGGGAUCAAACAGG
rnacentral:rRNA from 1 species